UCAGUUCGGACGCAGCGAACACCCGAAGACCCACCAACCAGUGAACAUACCUCUACUUCUUUUACGUGGUCCAUGAGGCUGCUGAAACAACCGACGUGAAAAUGUAGACGAGAGGGAUUCGGUGCGGAGCGCGACAGUUUACCUGAACCCUACGGGGUCGGUGCUUGAACAAUCCGUACGCAACCAUAAACUGGUCUGAUUAGAGUUUGAAAUUUCCUCACAUUUCGAACAAUUUGAGAAGAGCACUUCGAGAUACAUGCAAUUAGUUUAGAGCAGACUCGUAGUUUGAGAUCGAGAUUAAUCGUCGGCACACCAUCUUCUCUAAACGCAUACUACUACGAGAGAGAGGGGGCACACACGGAACAGUUGGAAUUGAAACAAUUAAACAAAAAAGAGCAUACAUAAAAAAAAAGAAACAAACAAAAGGGAGAGAGAGGAUCACAUUUUGUUAAGCGCUUGUAGCUGCGCGAAUCCAUCCUCGGAUUCGCCGACGAGAGAACCUCUUCUUCCUCUUCGUCUCUUACCUUUUUGGGUGCCGUGAUAGUUAGAACACCAUCCGAAGAAAGGCUCGAGGUAAUAUUGAACACGUCGUGCGAUGGUGGCAAGACGUAUCUCCGUACAAAGUGUCUACUGACAAAUCCGUGCUCGUCUUGCCUCUCUUCGUGUUUGGCUUCGACAAUAACUUGGUUCCCGACCGUCUUCACCGUGAUCUCUUCCGGUGAGAAUUGUUGAACCUCCAGUAUUACCUGUCGCAGAUCAGAGCGAAGCAUUAAAAAGUACAGAACGGCAAAUUAGAGAGCAAUCUUUAAUAUUCCAGUAUAAAGCAGAAGGCGAUUAUAUCCCUUCGAGCACCAGACGACGAUGUUACCUGUCAUUGUUACGAUGAUGUACAGAGGCUAUAAACGAGAUCUGAACGAUCAUUGAAUUCGACGUUAAACUCUCUUGAGCACCGGCUUUUUCUUGUAACGUCUGACUACAUUUUUUGAUUGCGAAAGUUAAGUAUCACACUAUAAGUAUUUUCUUUGUUAAACCAUCGAGAGAGAAAGCCUCGUACGCUUAAUUUAAACGCGCCGCUUCAAGGCGGGCGAAGGCAACUUCGCCUGCUUCCAAAACCGAAAAACCACACCACCAUUAUAUCACCAUUAGCUGUUUCCUUCGCCAUAAACCAGGUUCUCUUCUCUUCCGGAAGAAGAUCUAGGUCUGGUUGAUAACGACUAAAUUGUGUAAUAUCAUUGCUACCGUACGCACAACUAUUUCUAGCAGCUAACCACUUGAAAAGAGAACAAAAUCGAUAAUACAAAUAUUCUGCUAUUUCUUGAUUAAAAUUCCUGCUAGCCUUGAAAUUGCGAAAGUUGUUUUCUGGAGAUAGUAUCAAAACAGGCAAUAGCCAGGAAAAUGUAGGAGACAUCUAUCAAAAUUCUCACCCGUUCGAGAACUCGUUAUAAUUUUUUCCAACUUUCAUGUAACCUCCGUGUAAAUCCGACGAUGAUAUUGUAGCCGAGCGUUUUUAGCGAUCGCGGGAAGAGUAAAACAGGAAAGAUGUAGUUGUCAAAUGCGGCGUACCUAUUUGUGUAAUAGUUUUUUUUCGUUCGUAGAGAAGAUCGAGCAUACCAUUCAAAUAGAUGAUACAAACAUCAUACGUUUUAUCGUGUAAACGAGCGAAGUCUUAGCGCGUUGAGUUAUCGCGCUAUACGCAUGUCUUUUUUCCUUUGAUGGAUCGUUUUAUCUUGCAGUGGUUAGCAGCUUGACAUUAAAUAAAAAGGAAAGGCAAUAAAAAGAGAGUAGGAAGGAGCGAACCGUGGUUCUUCAGGUGAUCCUUCGUGUGAUCCUGGAAACCCGGUAAGCGAAUUUUGUUUUCAACGAUUGAAAAAAAAAAAAAGUAAACGUUUAGUGAGAAAUACCAUUGUGGAAACCAUCUCUAUGUACCUCGAGCAAAAUAGCAAAAGACCAAGAUAAACCGAUUUUUUUGAAGCAUCUCGAGUGCUGCUGCAUACACAGAGAGACAUACGCGCGCCCGAAUUUUUGUAUAUAUAGACAUUUCGUAUUGAAUCGUUUUCUAUAUACGGUCUUAUCGUUAAUGAUUCGAGAAGCAUUUAUUUUUAUAUAGAGAUUAUUUAUAUAUAGCGAGCAAAGAGAUCCGAAAGGUUCAAGGAAACUCAGUUUUUAGUCCCGAGAGCGGCGCCCCCGUUUCGGGGGGGGUGCUUCGACACACACCUCACACUUUCUCGGUUCUUUCUGCUAAAAACAAAAAAAAAAAAAAAAACGAAGACUGAUUCUUGUGUGACACGAUCCAUUUUUCGGAUUUUAAAAGAAUAUUAAAAAAAACCACGUCCUCUUGAUAUAUAUUAUUGUAUUUGGUAUCGUUCGUAUAAAAGGAGUAUAAAGAUUCUUUUGGAGAAAAACGUAAAAAGGGUGUGGGCUCUUUGAAUCGUUGACAAAAAAAAAUGGCGUAAGCCGGUUAAACUGUGAUUUCAAGGGAAAGAAUUUCCUGGUGUUAAAAAAAGAGCGUGUCUGACAGAAAAACAAUAUCACGUUGUAAGAUCGGAGUGCAUAAAAUUUUCUUUUGUACAGUUUUUUGAACUUUUUCUUGCUACUCGAGUCAUUUAAACGUAAAAAAGAAUACAUAUAAGAGUAGUUUUCGAGUCCUGACUUUUCAUCCCACCGAACCCCUUCUUCCACCCCCUCUUCAUUGAGGGAGGGGGUUCCCCCGUUCGAAGAACAGUCCCGAAACGUGUUUUCCAAUUUCUUUUUUAUAAACCACAACAACAUACAGUGCUGUGAAUUAUCGAAAUAAAACGAAAGGUGAAAGGAAGCAGAUAGUGUGGAAACAGUAAUUAUGCAACGAGAAAAAACGAAAAUGCAACCGAGAAACACAAACAGCAGUAGUAGAAGCAGUAGCAGUAGCAGUAGUAGUAGUAGUGGCAGAAACAGAGAAAUCGGUUUUCGGGCCUUCUGGUGUUCCAGUUUUAACCCCUGAAAAUUUAUAUAGCCCUGUUUUUCUUUUAUCAUUCCGUUCAUUCGGUUGUGGUAACUGUUUUUAAUGAGUGUCAAACGAUUUCGUUCUAAUAAUAGUCCUGUUUUGAAACGUUACGUUAAUACAACUAUAUUUCGAUAAAAAUAUUUAAUAGUUUCUAAGUUUUUUUUUUUUUAGUUGUACGGUUUAGUUCUUCGUAAGUUUUUUUUUCUUUACAUAAAUUCAGCUUUCCUUUCUGUUUUCUUUAUCUUUUUACGAAUGCGCUCCUUAUACAUUCCCAUUAUCCUUUUUCUUAGAUCCAUCGAUCAAGUUUUCUUAGGUCUUGAAAAUAUCGAACAUAUUCAAUUAAAAAAUUUGGUUCCGUUUCUUUUCUAGACACGCGUUGACGAUAAUAAACGUUUCGUAGACUUUUAUGGGUGUCACACACGAUCUAAAAAAAGGUUAUCACUUUAGACUUCUAUCUCAGCCUAAGUUAGUCGACCGUGUUAGCCCGCGAAAUAGUGUAAAACAAAUAUUUCGCUCACUGUACUGAGAAACUCCAAGAUAAAAAUAGGGUUCAAAAUAUUAUGCUAUAUAUGGGUCAGUAAAUGUUUAGCCAGUUCUCUUCCAUUAAAAAAAAAAAACUUGUGGCGACAACAGCAUAUUACUCCUUUUAAAUCACAUUUAUCCAAUUACUAAGUUACAACUGUACUUCGAAACGAACGAUAAUAUAGAUAAUAUACGUGUAUAAUUCAGUGUAAAGUUCAAUUUCGAAAGUGUAUAGAAUGCGUGUGGUGUGAGUAGAGUUUAGGGUUCUAGGCUCUGAGGUUGAAAAUAAUAUUAGGACGUUUUAUCCAGUUCUCAAAUAUUCGAAAAUCUUGACACGUAGUUUAAAAAGGGACAGCUUUUCCUAAUCUUUAAAGGCUUUCGCGAGGAAAAAGUGUGUAUGUGUGUGUAAUAGUGCCUUUUUAUAAGAUUUAAUUUUGGAAGUUUGCUUCUUUCGCGAUUAUUUUUUUGCAUAUUUUACAUUUUAAUAUCCUAGUCGAGUCAAAACUUCAGCUUUUCUGAUCGUCUCGUUUAAAGCUUUACUCCUCGACUCGCAGCAACUUUUCCCGUGUUUGAUAUAUUUUUGGCUAUAUUUGAUCAGCAAUAAUUGAAUAGUUCGGUAUCCAAUUUUUGUCCCAAAAGCAAAUAUCUUUCUUGUAUUAAAAAGAAGGAAAGUCGGUUUUCUGCGUACAGUUAAGCAACGGCUAUCCCAUGACUUUCCGAUCUCAUCUGAAAGUUAUGGGAUAGUCGUUGUGGAAGUGUUCCAUGGUGCUAAUUAUUACAAGCUUCGAUAAUAAAAUGAGAACCGAUGGUAACAGCAAUACACACUUCAAAACUUCAACGAAAUAAUAUAAAGAUUCUAUGCACGUGUAGUGUGUGUGUUUCGAGUUGCUCGAAGUCGUGGGCGUUAACAAUUCUUCAAAAUUUCGACGAUUCUUACGAGAAGAGCUGUUAGACGCUUAAAAUUGCGCAAGAAGCUUCCUUCAGGUUUAAAGAACCAAUGGUCCGCCUAGGUAUUUUAUAAUAUAUAAUACGUACAUUAAUUUUUCUUUGACGAUAAGUAAGCAGUAUAAUAUCCAACUUCUGAGGUGUGUUAUAGAUAGAAAGAGGGAGGUACCUGUGUCGACUUUUUCCAUCUUUGCUUCUUAAUUUUGUCACUUUCUCGGCCUUUAAUUCAUUUCGUGACCAACUAACGCGACCCUAAGCUCUCAGGUUUUUCCCGCUCUCCUCUUCCGUGGGAUUCCGCUUCUGUGGAAUCCUGCGGAAGACGAGAUCCAUUUUCCCCGUUGCAGCAGUAUUUUAUCCAUCCUACUAAUGUUUUAAGCUUGAACGCUUGUGAGAACGAGCUUCAUAGAGAGAUCAUAGGCUCCAGAAAUUGUCGAGAAUUGUAAUAAGAGAUUGUGUGUCUAUUGCAACGCAAGUUUGUCACCUUACGUCUGUUGAGUCCAUAUGUACCAUCUAAAAAGAACUUGAACGUGUGCUAAAUACGAGAUCCAAGCGUGCCAUAAAUCGCAUUUCCUUGAUGAUACUAAUCGACAACUUCCAGAAAAUCAUUAUCGAGUCAACGUGAAAUUUAACGAUGUUAAACAUCUGAAACGUUCAAUAAUUUGCUUGCCUAGCCCUCAAACAAAAUCGAAGAAGAACGAGCGUGCUGAUAUACCAUUCAUCUUCGCAAGCAACGUACAUUUGCAACAGUGUGUAAAAUUAAGACACAGCCGAGUCUCGAUUUAUAGAAAUACAGAGAACGCGUGCCAUCUAAAAUCCAGCUAAAGAUAACAUUCAAGCACCGUGGUUAAUCCUUGUAAUCAGAUUCCAACUGAUAAUAUAAAAUCCAAACCACACAAAUUUUGAACGAUUAUUAUUGAGAAUUUUCAAGUUCGGUAAUCAGAGUAAAUACAUCAGCCGUAGUCUUCCAAUCAAUCAUAAUUGAGGUCCGUAUCCAUAGUUACCACUCGAAAUAUAAGGUAAUUGCAAUCAGACCUAUUGUCUCGUUACAGACAAUAGAUGUGAUUGAUACCGUCGAGUGAUAACUAUGGAUAUGGCUCGUGGUUCUCUGAUCCAAAGCAAUACAAUUACCGAUCUUCAAACAAAAGUACAACCAUCUCUAAAAAUGGCAAUAAUAAUCCUGUUUUCCAUUCACGAAUCAACAGACCAACCAGUACAAUAAAAAAAAAAGAUCCUUGACCACCAUCAGAUCGUCUGCUUACAAUCACGAACUUAGAACGAUCCUAACACGUAUGCUUCUCGAUCCACUGAUCCAUUUUGAAAUGGAUGCUUUAAACAAGUAGAGUCGCGCAAUUGCUUACCCACCUAAUCGUGAAUUACAAAUCCCAGCCAGCAUUUCCCGAGGGUUUUGCAAGUGUCAAAGUACAAUUUUGCAAAGUAGAAUCGUGAGAACGAAGAAAAUCACUUUUGCCCGCAAUCACGAGCUCAAAAUCCAUCCUCGUAAGUUCUCGAUCUCUACUUGAAAUUUUUCUCUGAGGGCUUAACAAGUUCGAGCCCGUUAAUAUUUCUCAGGCAUCAGAGAAAAAUCACAGUUCCUCUUCCAUCAGUUCGUGCAAUAUUAAAAGAAAUCGUUUCCACUCACCUGGAAGUUGUCCUUGCUGUCGAUCUGAAUCGUGCUCGAUCCGCUCGAGUGUUGGCGCGUUACGUUCCUCCACGGACGGUAGUACCUAUCGCGAAAAAUCGAGCGUAGGGGUCUGUCGAGACUUAGAUCGGAGAACCUUGAUAUCAGAUCGUCUCGAUUAAGUCCUCUGCCGAAGUGUUGGUCCAUCAAUCGGGACACCGGGCGAUCGAAAUCGUCCCACCAGUCACGAAAAACCAAAGGUACUACGGACAUCUGUACAAUAAAAAAAAAAAGAAACAAAAAUGAGAUUAGAAAGGAGAUAAUAAAGUACGUUAAAACAUCGUCGGUCAAGUUCUUGCUUUUCGAUCUAGGACUAGUGUAAGAUUAAAGAGGGAUGGGAGGGAGAGAAUUAUGAAAUGUGUGACAUGUACGUAUUAAAUACGGUUUAGUACAAGCGACGACGGGGAAGUGAUGGAUUAGAAGAGAGGAGUAUGUUUUUAGGGCUAAGGUGUUUUACUAACAAUCGUACUAGAUUCAUGAUUAUUGAGCUUAAAAACCUGUUAAUGUGUGUUACUCGCCCGUCUGUCGUUUUUAACUAUAAGGGACACGAUAAUCCGCAGAUCAUAGAUCGAUCUCGGGUAACGAAUAUUAUAUAUAUAUAUAUCCUGAUGUAUGAACAUAGGUGAAGAAAGGGGAGGAUAGGUGAACGGAAGAUGGAGUAAAAUGGGGGGUUUAUUCGCUGAGACACCGUGAAGAGUUCUUGCUACAAUUUAGCGUAGAAACACUAAUUUUGAUGCUGAAAGAUCCUUUUACGCGUUUCCUCGAGGGUACUUAACGAUAAUAAUUCUCUUAUACGCACAACAGACGAUCAAGGGUAGUAGAGUGAUUUGUUUUCGGAUCUUUGCAUCUACGAUAUGAAAAUCCUCGAUAGAAACAGACACGUGACAGCUCGAAUCUAUAUUAAUCUUUUUUUUAACGUGUACGCGAUAUGUAUUUUAUUACACAUUAGAUUACUAAAACAUAUAAAAAAAUAUUUGAUCAAAUUGAGAAAUAAAAAUUGUAAAAAACAAAAGGGCAUUCGAGGUCCCAUCGCGCUCGUUGGAGAAUCCUUUCUCUUCGAGCAAAAUACUUGACAUCGAAAAUGACGAACAUCGUUGAAUGAAACUAGAUUCACAGGUGUAAACGACCGCGAGUGAGAAUUUAUCAAUCAAGAGUUAGAAAAUCGUGUCGAUCACGGGGUAUAAAACGCGGACGUGCUAAUAUUUGACGAAGAAAAGGAAAGUGGGCUGCGCGUUUGUUAGGAUAACAAGUGUAACGGAAGGAAGGAUUUAGAAAACAAAAACGUGUUAGGCAUUUUCCAUCGAAUACCCCAUAAUUCGUGUGGUAGCUCAAUAAUAGGUUAUGUGUUUUAGGAACUUAAGUGUAUUAGGGACAGGAUAACUUUACCACCACUGAGAUAGUACGACUAGGAGUUAGCUGAAGUAUGCAAGGGGUGGUUUUAUGACCACAUCAUGUGCGUUCACACGAAUAACAACGCGUGUUUUAAUUCAGAAGAGAUCAUAUGUAUCUCGGUAUAUUAAAGAGAAAGCGUUAACGCUAUUUUACGAUCAAAACUACUAAUAGAACUUGAAGAUGAAGCACAGUUGUAGGCGUUGAAAAAGAAAAGCUAGUGCUGAUAGAAGGGAGGAAAUCAGUGUUUAAUCGCGUUGUAUAUCAUAAAACCAGACAUGUACUUAACUUUUCAGCACUAACGUGUUUUACACUACUAAUUCGAAUUAUCAGACAAUACUUGUUUGUUUGCUUAGUAAAGGGUAAAAGCGUGUAUGGUUAAUUCAUACGCGUCAAGUACGAUAGGGGGAAGACCUUAAUUAAAAUGUGCGUCUUUAGUCUUUCUCAAAGAUUUUCAGCACUGCGUGCGCAAUAAUUGACACCUAUUUUUACGCACUUCAUAUUAAAAAAUACGAGAUUUCGAAUAUUAUUUGAGAAAGACGGUUAAAGGAAUACGAUGGGGAAAGAGCAGAGAAAAUCCGCGUGUUAGUAGGUUUAAGGUGUUUCGCAUAACACUUUCGGAUUAGGAUACGGUAUUAUUAACACCACGGACACUUUUCGGAAGGGGAUUCAAACUUGUAUAGGUAGUAAAGGUGUAACUAGUCCUUAAGGUUUAACAGCUCUUUGGGAUUUUCACUAACGUUAGGAGUUACUAUUUACUAUUUCGCGAAAAGCGUUGCUUUUUUUUAUCGUCCGACGAAAGUAAGAACACCGACUGGAUCACACCAGAGAUAAAAACAUCACGAUCAUGACAAAAGCACAAUUUGCUAAAACUUUGAGAGCGUUUAUGGUACUACCGUGAAUUUUAUGUGGUUUCUACGGGAAAACUUGUGGAGUUAGACUUGAUGCGUUUCAAGCUCGAGCCAACAGCGAACACUUCCGACGAUUCACUAAUAAGAGCACGAAAAUUCGGAGGAAUGAAUUUCGACUGAUUCAGCUACGAAUACGCGAGAAGCUUAAAUAGGCGUCUUCGAAGCGCGUCUCGACGCCUACGCUAAUCCACCACCGACAUUUUCAAUACACCCACGAUUGUUCACGUGACGUUUUACACUGACUCUUCUCGCCUAAAAAUACACCAUCCCAAUGUGUCUAAUGAAAACUAUGACAGAGGGAGGGGCGCAGAAUCUUUAUUGUGAUUCAGUGUUUUUGAUCAUUUUGGCACACCUCGUGUGCGUAAAACCUUCUGAUUUUUCUGCUGGACUCAAGACGUUGCAAUGCUUCGAAUACCCACCCCAGGGUCAACUCAGAUAAAUUCCAACACUUUUGAAAGGUCUCUCAAUUCGAGAGACAAAUAUAUUUUAUCCUCUCGACAAUUAAUUCAGUGUUAAGCCUCGUUAAAGUAUACCUCGUGAUUACUGCUGCAAUAUCAUCGUUCAAUUUGUCCUAAUUAUUCAUUAGAGAGAGUGCUAAUAAGGAGAGCCCUGUAUAUCUGUUAACGGUAUUGUACGUAUCAAUUAGGGUGCCCACACCUUUUAAUAAUAAUAAUAAUGAUAAUAAUAAUAAUAAUUGCACACACUUGAACCACCAACCUCUCUACUAAUAAGCUUUGUCCAUAUAUUGAGUUUCCAUUUAAAUAACAAGGAAUCUUCGAAGUAAAUAUCGAGCUGUGUGUUGAAACGCCAUAUUUCUUAGGUGGGAUUGUUCUUUUUCUCUUAUUUAGCUUUUCAGCUGUGUUUUUAUCACGAAUUUUUCGAUGUUCGCUUGCAAUUUUGCAGUGCAUAAAGCUCUAAGCAAUCUUUCAGCAUGAUGUUAACUAUUAUCACCCUCGAUAUAUUAAUAUAUAAUGUCUUCGUAAGGAAUGUAUAUUAAUAACGAACAAUAACAACGUACCUUGCUUUUAAAAACCACGCAUCGUUCGAUUUUUUCGAAAUGAGAUCGAGGUGUGUGUCUGCACUUCUUAAACGAAGGGAGCCUUUUUAACAUCCGAACGCAUAUAUGUUACAUAUUAAUAUAUAUACGGUAUAUAUACAUUACUAUACGAGAUAUACAUAUUUAUGUCUAGGGUGCGGGUUUAAAUUAAGAAACAUUUAAACAUUAAUUUUCCUUAAUAAACGUGUAAAAAAAAAAAUAUUAAAAAAUGACGGGUUUUCGAGGAUAUCUUGAUUCUCGUCACCAAAAAAAAAUUGAAACAAUAAUUCAAUUAUACACUAGAGUAUGUGUUUUAAAUAUCAUCGAGUAUGAACUAUUUACCGAUACUCUAUUAUAUAAUUAGCGUGUACGAUACUCGCUAGGAUUAUUUCCUGAACUCCUUCCUACUUAUUGUUAGUAAAAACAAGUGCGAGUAAUAAUUGAAAAAAAUUAAUUCUGUAAUAAGUUUUACAUUAUUUUUACUUAACAAUUUUUAAUACGAUAUGACUAAUUGUAAACAGUAAUCAGAGAGAAUACGUGUAAAUUUGGUUUUGCAAACUGAACAAUGCAAUUCAAGAGCAAAUGAGAAUAAUAACAUCUUCUGUAAUCACAACGACAAUGAUUGCGCAAAACAAUAAGAAUAACAACCGUGAGAGCGCUUGUUUAGUGGGUAAAUAUUCUAGAUUUUAGAGGAGCAUAAUUCAGGAUACAUUUAUGUAAUUUUGUUUAUUUUUAAGUUGAUUCGAUUUAAAAGAAGGAACACCUUGAAAAUAAGUAAUUAACAAAUCUACUGUGCGGCAUUAUAGCGAUAAAAUAUAUAACUACUAGUAGGCUUAACGAUUAAAUGAUUUAGGUAAUCGACCAAAUAUUAUGAUAAUCGAUACAUAUAUGUUGUAUAUGGUUCCAAAACUAUAAUAUUCGUGUUUUCGUGUUUUUAACUAUGGUUAGGCAUUGCUGUGUGUAAAGUCCUACACGUCAGAUUUAUAAAAAAAAAAAAAAAUAA